rnacentral:tRNA from 3 species
AGGGGUUUGGUGUAAUUGGUAGCACUCCGGUCUCCAAAACCGAUGUAGGUGAGGGUUCAAGUCCUUCAACCCCUGCCA